rnacentral:sRNA from 1 species
GAGCUCAGAACAGCUGUCUGUGAGGGAGUCAGAGGGAGAGAGAGAAAGGGAGCCGGGGAGAGAGAGAGGGGGACUUCUGUAAGGCGGCACGACCACUCCAAAUAACAGCCGCAGAGGGAGGUGGGGGAGAGGGAAAUAAAGGGGAGUCAUGCUUAAAAUGCCACAGCGGUGUGAAACAGCAGAGCAAAGAAGCGCCCUCAGCUUCUGAGAGCCCUGGCCCGAGUCCCCUCCCCCGUUAGAAACAGGGCUUUGGGAUAGUCAUGGAGCACUGCCAGUAACUCCAACCGCAGCACGCCGGCCUGCUCGCCUAUCCUCCGGAAGCGGUCUCGCUCGCCAACCCCGCAGAACCAGGACGGAGACACCAUGGUGGAGAAGGGCUCAGAUCACUCCUCGGACAAGUCCCCGUCCACACCGGAGCAGGGCGUGCAGCGCAGCUGCUCCUCCCAGUCCGGCCGGAGCGGCGGCAAGAAUUCCAAGAAAAGCCAGAGUUGGUAUAAUGUGUUAAGCCCCACCUACAAGCAGAGAAAUGAAGACUUCAGAAAGCUCUUUAAGCAGCUUCCAGACACGGAGCGCCUCAUUGUUGAUUACUCAUGUGCACUCCAAAGAGACAUUCUCCUUCAGGGCCGACUCUACCUCUCUGAAAAUUGGAUCUGCUUCUACAGCAACAUCUUCCGCUGGGAAACUCUGCUGACAGUCCGUUUGAAAGACAUCUGUUCCAUGACUAAAGAAAAAACAGCUCGCCUCAUUCCCAAUGCCAUCCAAGUUUGCACUGAUUCAGAAAAGCACUUCUUCACUUCGUUUGGGGCCCGGGAUAGGACGUAUAUGAUGAUGUUCCGGCUCUGGCAGAACGCUCUCCUUGAAAAGCCUCUGUGUCCCAAAGAGCUCUGGCACUUUGUUCACCAGUGCUAUGGGAACGAAUUGGGCCUGACCAGUGAUGACGAGGACUACGUGCCCCCUGACGACGACUUCAACACAAUGGGAUACUGCGAAGAGAUCCCUGUGGAAGAGAAUGAAGUGAAUGACAGCUCAUCCAAGAGCAGCAUAGAGACCAAGCCAGAUGCCAGUCCACAACUGCCCAAGAAAUCCAUCACCAACAGCACACUGACAUCCACAGGGAGCAGUGAGGCCCCCGUCUCGUUUGAUGGGCUGCCCCUGGAGGAGGAGGCGCUGGAGGGAGAUGGGUCCCUGGAGAAGGAGCUCGCCAUUGACAACAUCAUGGGGGAGAAGAUUGAGAUGAUCGCUCCUGUGAACUCCCCUUCACUGGACUUCAAUGACAAUGAGGACAUCCCCACUGAACUCAGUGACUCUUCCGACACACACGAUGAAGGGGAGGUCCAGGCCUUCUAUGAGGACCUGAGUGGCCGGCAGUACGUGAAUGAAGUCUUCAACUUCAGCGUGGACAAGCUCUAUGACCUCCUCUUCACCAACUCGCCCUUCCAGCGGGAUUUCAUGGAGCAGCGGCGCUUCUCUGAUAUCAUCUUCCAUCCAUGGAAAAAGGAGGAGAAUGGAAACCAGAGCCGAGUGAUUCUUUACACCAUCACCCUUACCAACCCUCUGGCUCCCAAAACUGCCACUGUCAGGGAGACACAGACCAUGUACAAGGCGAGCCAGGAGAGUGAAUGUUAUGUGAUAGAUGCCGAAGUCCUCACCCACGACGUGCCCUACCAUGACUACUUCUACACAAUCAAUCGCUACACGCUCACCCGCGUGGCUCGGAACAAGAGCCGACUCAGGGUCUCCACAGAGCUACGCUAUCGAAAACAGCCCUGGGGAUUAGUGAAAACGUUCAUCGAGAAGAACUUCUGGAGUGGGCUGGAGGACUACUUCCGCCAUUUAGAGAGCGAGCUGGCCAAAACGGAGAGCACUUAUUUGGCUGAGAUGCACAGACAAUCUCCCAAAGAGAAGGCCAGCAAGACUACAACGGUGCGGAGGAGGAAGCGUCCCCAUGCCCACCUGCGAGUCCCUCACCUGGAAGAGGUGAUGAGCCCGGUCACCACGCCCACAGAUGAGGAUGUGGGCCACAGGAUCAAACAUGUGGCAGGUUCCACGCAGACGCGGCAUAUCCCCGAGGACACCCCCAACGGUUUCCACCUGCAGAGCGUGUCCAAGCUGCUGCUGGUUAUCAGCUGUGUUCUGGUGCUGCUGGUCAUCCUUAACAUGAUGCUCUUCUACAAACUCUGGAUGUUGGAAUACACCACGCAGACCCUCACUGCCUGGCAGGGUCUAAGGCUCCAAGAAAGGUUACCCCAGUCUCAGACAGAAUGGGCCCAGCUCUUAGAGUCCCAACAAAAGUACCACGAUACUGAGCUCCAAAAAUGGAGGGAGAUCAUCAAAUCCUCAGUGAUGCUCCUUGACCAGGUGAGAUGCCCCACCUUCUCUGCUUGCCCUGGUCUUUGGGAGCGGGGACUCCUUCCCUUAUGCUGUGAGAAAGAUCCUUGUCUCUAUCACCACCCUCCAGACUUCUCCCUCCAAUUCAUUCUUCCUCCAGGCCAUGCAUUGUUCUAAAAUGGAAAGCCUUCCUUGAGUGGGCUGCUAGAAAUGCAGGUGUAUUCUAAAAAAUAAGAACAAUAAAAUGACCUACUGAAUUUGCACCAGGAAAGCUGUAGUUUAGGUGGA